UACGUAGGGGGCAAGCGUUGUCCGGAAUCAUUGGGCGUAAAGCGCGUGUAGGCGGUUCAGUAAGUCUGCUGUGAAAGUCCAGGGCUCAACCCUGAGAUGCCGGUGGAUACUGCUGGGCUAGAGUACGGAAGAGGCGAGUGGAAUUCCCGGUGUAGCGGUGAAAUGCGCAGAUAUCGGGAGGAACACCAAUUGCGAAGGCAGCUCGCUGGGACGUUACUGACGCUGAGACGCGAAAGCGUGGGGAGCAAACAGG
rnacentral:rRNA from 1 species